GGCCCCAUAGUCUAGUGGUAAAACGAUUCGUUUACACCGAAUAGUCCGCAGUUCGAUUCUGCGUGGGGCCA
rnacentral:tRNA from 1 species